AACUUUUGGCAAUGGAUCUCUUGGUUCUGGCAUCGAUGAAGAACGCAGCGAAAUGCGAUAAGUAAUGUGAAUUGCAGAAUUCAGCGAAUCAUCGAAUCCUUGAACGCACAUUGCGCCUCCGGGUAUUCCUGGAGGCAUGCUUGUUCGAGCGUCGUUAAAGACCAUGAGGCUUUGCCUUGCGAUGAGCCCUCCGAUCGAUUGAUCGGUGGCUUCAAACCGAUUGGCGUCUGAAGUUUAGCCCAAGCACAGCAAAAUGUGACUGUAAGCCGAGCGAAGGAUUGCCUGUUUCUCAUACAUAUAAAGGUCGACCUCGGAUCAAGCAAGAUUACCCGCUGAACUUAAGCAUAUCAAUAAGCGGAGGCU
rnacentral:misc_RNA from 1 species